AUACGGAGGAUCCGAGCGUUAUCCGGAUUUAUUGGGUUUAAAGGGUGCGCAGGCGGGAGAUUAAGUCGGCGGUGAAAUUUUGCAGCUCAACUGUAAAAGUGCCUUCGAAACUGGUUUCCUUGAGUGUAGAUGAAGUAGGCGGAAUUUGUGGUGUAGCGGUGAAAUGCAUAGAUAUCACGAGGAACUCCGAUUGCGCAGGCAGCUUACUAAAUUACUACUGACGCUCAGGCACGAAGGCGUGGGGAUCAAACAGGAUUAGAUACCCUGGUAGUCCACGCAGUAAACGAUGAUUACUAGCUGUUUGCGAUACAAUGUAAGCGGCUGAGCGAAAGCGUUAAGUAAUCCACCUGGGGAGUACGUUCGCAAGGUUGAAACUCAAAGGAAUUGACGGGG
rnacentral:rRNA from 1 species